GACGAACGCUGGCGGCACGCUUAACACAUGCAAGUCGAACGAGAGAAGAGAAGCUUGCUUUUCUGAUCUAGUGGCGGACGGGUGAGUAACACGUGAGCAAUCUGCCUUUCAGAGGGGGAUACCGAUUGGAAACGAUCGUUAAUACCGCAUAACAUAAUUGAACCGCAUGAUUUGAUUAUCAAAGAUUUAUCGCUGAAAGACGAGCUCGCGUCUGAUUAGCUAGUUGGUAAGGUAACGGCUUACCAAGGCGACGAUCAGUAGCCGGACUGAGAGGUUGAUCGGCCACAUUGGGACUGAGGCACGGCCCAGACUCCUACGGGAGGCAGCAGUGGGGAAUAUUGCACAAUGGAGGAAACUCUGAUGCAGCGAUGCCGCGUGAGGGAAGAAGGUUUUAGGAUUGUAAACCUCUGUCUUCAGGGACGAAAAAUGACGGUACCUGAGGAGGAAGCUCCGGCUAACUACGUGCCAGCAGCCGCGGUAAUACGUAGGGAGCGAGCGUUGUCCGGAAUUACUGGGUGUAAAGGAGCGUNAGCGGGAUCGGCAGUCAGAUGUGAAAACUAUGGGCUUAACCCAUAAACUGCAUUUGAAACUGUGGUUCUUGAGUGAAGUAGAGGUAAGCGGAAUUCCUAGUGUAGCGGUGAAAUGCGUAGAUAUUAGGAGGAACAUCAGUGGCGAAGGCGGCUUACUGGGCUUUAACUGACGCUGAGGCUCGAAAGCGUGGGGAGCAAACAGGGUUAGAUACCCUGGUAGUCCACGCCGUAAACGAUGAUUACUAGGUGUGGGGGGACUGACCCCUUCCGUGCCGCAGCAAACGCAAUAAGUAAUCCACCUGGGGAGUACGACCGCAAGGUUGAAACUCAAAGGAAUUGACGGGGGCCCGCACAAGCAGUGGAGUAUGUGGAUUAAUUCGAAGCAACGCGAAGAACCUUACCAGGUCUUGACAUCGUAUGCAUAGCUCAGAGAUGAGUGAAAUCUCUUCGGAGACAUAUAGACAGGUGGUGCAUGGUUGUCGUCAGCUCGUGUCGUGAGAUGUUGGGUUAAGUCCCGCAACGAGCGCAACCCUUACUGUUAGUUGCUACGCAAGAGCACUCUAGCAGGACUGCCGUUGACAAAACGGAGGAAGGUGGGGAUGACGUCAAAUCAUCAUGCCCCUUAUGACCUGGGCCUCACACGUACUACAAUGGCUGUCAACAGAGGGAAGCAAAGCCGCGAGGUGGAGCGAACCCCUAAAAGCAGUCUUAGUUCGGAUUGUAGGCUGCAACCCGCCUACAUGAAGUCGGAAUUGCUAGUAAUCGCAGAUCAGCAUGCUGCGGUGAAUACGUUCCCGGGCCU
rnacentral:rRNA from 1 species